GUAGGCUUAGGCUUAGGCUUAGGCUUAGGCUUAGGCUUAGGCUAAGGCUUAGGCUUAGGCUUAGGCUUAGGCUUAGGCUUAGGCUUAGGCUUAGGCUUAGGCUUAGGCG
ensembl:ncRNA Y51A2D.37 ncRNA